UACGAAGGGGGCGAGCGUUGUUCGGAAUUACUGGGCGUAAAGGGCGCGUAGGCGGUGUUCCAUGUCAGAGGUGAAAGCCUGGGGCUCAACUCCAGAAUUGCCUUUGAAACGGGAACGCUUGAGUCCGAGAGAGGAUGGCGGAAUUCCUAGUGUAGAGGUGAAAUUCGUAGAUAUUAGGAAGAACACCGGUGGCGAAGGCGGCCAUCUGGCUCGGUACUGACGCUCAGGUUCGAAAGCGUGGGGAGCAAACAGG
rnacentral:rRNA from 1 species